rnacentral:rRNA from 1 species
UAGGGAAUCUUCCACAAUGGACGCAAGUCUGAUGGAGCAACGCCGCGUGAGUGAAGAAGGUCUUCGGAUCGUAAAACUCUGUUGUUAGAGAAGAACACGAGUGAGAGUAACUGUUCAUUCGAUGACGGUAUCUAACCAGCAAGUCACGGCUAACUACGUGCCAGCAGCCGCGGUAAUACGUAGGUGGCAAGCGUUGUCCGGAUUUAUUGGGCGUAAAGGGAACGCAGGCGGUCUUUUAAGUCUGAUGUGAAAGCCUUCGGCUUAACCGGAGUAGUGCAUCGGAAACUGGAAGACUUGAGUGCAGAAGAGGAGAGUGGAACUCCAUGUGUAGCGGUGAAAUGCGUAGAUAUAUGGAAGAACACCAGUGGCGAAAGCGGCUCUCUGGUCUGUAACUGACGCUGAGGUUCGAAAGCGUGGGUAGCAAACAGGAUUAGAUACCCUGGUAGUCCACGCCGUAAACGAUGAGUGCUAAGUGUUGGGAGGUUUCCGCCUCUCAGUGCUGCAGCUAACGCAUUAAGCACUCCGCCUGGGGAGUACGACCGCAAGGUUG